UUAAAAAAAAGCGCCUGGACAAUUUUAUAUUGUUGACGAGGUUAGAGUUUAUCGAAAUAUUCGGCGGAUGGCUCUAUGGCAAGAACAGUUACUGCCAUUAGAUAUAGCUAAAAACUAAUAGUGAUAUUAGAACAAAGCAAAUAUCA
rnacentral:ncRNA from 1 species